GGGAGACCAGAAAAGAAGCAGCCAAGGAUCUAUGGCGGGGGAGACCAAUGAGACGCAGGGGAGGGGGUCCAAGGCCAAUCCUUCGCCGCCGGCAGCGUUGGCAGAAGUGGAGGCGGAUCAGAUCCCCUAGGUCACCGGGGAUUGGUCAAGAGCAAGCUCGUCCGGGUCAUCAUGGCCGGCGCCGGCAAAGCGGGAAGGCGGAGGUGUCGUGGACAAGGACCCCAUGGCCACCUUCGCCGAGAGCGUCCUCAUCUUCAUCCACUACUUCUCCGCCACGGACGUGCCUCCUGCCUUGCAUCUCCUUGUUCUUCCUCAUCCCUGUUUUUGCUAUGUUUUGGGGAGUAAUCCUUAUUGAUUUGAUGCAGUUUUUUUGGUAAUCUGGUUGGCGAAUUUGAUGCUUGUGUGAAAUAUUUGGGGUUUCUUAGGGGGAGAAAAUAGCGGUAGUUAAUUUAUUCGCAUUAGUUAGCCUGCUGGUUUAGGAUCUGCAUCGUUGAGGUCUUUAGCUAAUUUGUCUGUUCUUUGGUCGAGGGGAAGACGUCCAAGAUCAUAAUAUUAGGCUUCUCCCCGUGAUGUGAUGUUUAUCGAAUGAUGAUAGUAACAUGAGUGUGAUCUUAUUUGCAGGGAAGACCUACGACAUGUUUGCAAGGACGGAAAGAUACAUAAGAUCAAUGCUGAAUAUGUCUUCAAGGUGCUCGAUGGGAUUGAGUUCCUAGGGUUUUUAGAGCCCCUGAUCAAGCAUUUGAAGGUCCGUGUGGUUGUCUACUUGUCUCUCCAUUCUGUUACAGUCUGUUGUUAUUGCUCAGUUGUGUCAGUCAAACAUAUGUUCUUUGAGUUUAGAUGUUGGAUAGAUAAAUAAUUCUAUGUGAAAAUGCAAAUGAAAGGUGCAGUGGCUCAGUGCUUUAGGUUGUUGGUUACCAUGUGGGACCAUAAAUAAAUAGAAGUUGUUAACCACAAUGGAAGUUCAUUGGCUCUUUAUAUCCUUUUGAACAAGGGACUGCAUGAAUAUGGGAUUCCUUUUCCUGUAGCGAAUAGCUAUUGUGUUUAAACGCAAUCAUGUUAACAUAUAAACCCUCAAGAACUGCUAGGAAGGACCCUACCCACGCUGGCCGGUUCCGGCAAGCUCCGGCCGCCGCACGCCCCCGAGCUCCCCAAGAUCCGCGCCUCCAACCCUCCGCGGCAGGGAUUGGUGGACCGGCAGAUGUGAACGGGCUCGUGGUGGAGGCGCAGCAGGGGUUGGUGGGCCGGCGGAUGUGGGUGCGCUCCCGUCGCUGCUCGAUGACGGCGGCCAGUUCAAGAGGGUAGGUGAAGGCGAGCGGGGAGCGAGACAGAGAGACCUAGCCCACCCCGUGACCCUACCCUCAUUCCUCAUGAGCCGCCGCCGCCACCCCCGCCCACGAUGGAGAAAGUGAGAGGAAAGAGGAGAGGGGUCCUAUGAUAUAGUGAUUGUUCAACUAUAUGUAUUGGUAUGCUAUAUUUACAUCCGGUAACAAUUUGUGCUUAUUACCAUGCUAAAAACAUGCAUAGAUACUGCUCAGGAUUUCAGAGUGCAGCGUGGUGUUUCCCGUUGAUAGUAAGUUGACUGCCAGUUUAAAAUCUCAAACUGUUUCCUGGGACAAAUUGUUAAAAUAUGGUUUUCACUACAAGUAAAGAUGACUGGAGUUAUUCUUUUUAAUUAUCCAAUUCCCUACCAUUGAAGGUAUUAGACAUAUCUUGUAUGUAUCACCUACUUUAUGAGAAUAUAGGGGUAUCGGUUGAGAAGUAUCAAAAUGUCUUUUUGUUAUUUGAUCAUGUACAUAUCUGUUCUGUUGUAACAGUCACAAAUGCUGCUUCACCUGAUGCUACAGGUUUAUGUCUUUAUUUAUUUUUCACCAGGCACGGGGAAGGGAAUCAAUGGUUUGUUGGAUUUUAUCAUGUGGGUUAUGAAGAUCCAUUGCUUAUGGUUAUGCGAAGGAAAACUGUUCAUGGUUAAAGUUUGCUAAUAUUAUUACGCAACAGUCUGUUCCUUGCACCUGUUUUGCAAGCUGGAUUGUACGAGAGAAUAUAUAGAGAUGAGAAGAUUGUCCAUUCACUUAUUUCUUCUAUGGAAAGGAGCAUCAAUGGUUUUUGCAUGUGCUUCCCAUUGCCUGGGCACUUGGUGAGAGGACUCUUUGAUGUUAUUCUUUCAAAUAAGCUUUGAUAUGACUAAGGUGCAAUCAAUUGAAGUUGUUUUGAAGAACCUGCACCUGAGGAUAUUCUGUUUUUCAUAGCUUGCAGCAGUGUGUAGAAUAAAGUUUGUACAUUUUGUGAAUCGUUUCUUUCAGUUUUCCAGCCCGUGAUGUUGGGCAGGGAGAGAUGGGGAUGGCAGCGCUGGGAAAAGAGAGAUGGCGGCGAAGGCGGCGGUGCGCUGAGUAGAGAGAGAUGACAUCGGCGGAAGCAGCAACUCGUCUCUCCUCUUCGUAUCAUCGAUGAGGACGUGGGCUACAGGAGCGUGAGGAUUGGAAACCUCUUCCUCCAUAAUCUUGCCGAGCUGUUCCUCCUACUUUGAAGCAACUCGGCGAGGAGAGCAACGUGAAUGAGGUUUGCACAUUCACUUCCCUUUUUCUGAAUCUGUUUUUCUGUAAUUCCCUUGGUUAUGCAUAGGAUUACUUGCUAACCUGUACCAUAGCCUUUUUGCAAUGUUUUCAUAUAGAAUUUUCUUCGGCGUGUGCUUUGAUUACAGGCACCCAAAGUGUGGGAAGAACAAACAGUAAUUCAAGUUAGGUGUAUUGUUGUCCAGAUGAGUUCGUCAUGUGCUAGAAGGUGAGCUGAACCCAAUCUAGGCCUCAAGUUUCUCAUGUCCUUUACAGUGCAUUGUUAUUUCUGUGAGGUUCACAUGUAAUUUGUUCAACUAUAGUACUCAGUGAAUGAGACAAGGCAUUACUGCAUUUUAUUUCGUGGUGUUCAGCUGCAAGAAUUUAGUUUGUUUCUUUUUUUUGAAGUCAUAGAUUGUUUUGUGCCAGAAACAGGACAAGUAAUGCUCUAUAACCUUGGCAUAAAAAAUGGUCUAAAUUUCAUAUAGAAGGCCGUGGAAUACUUUGCAUGUGUUCAUUCAAAUAUAUGGAGUUGACCUGUACGUGUUGCUUCUAUGCACACUAUGUUCCAUAUGAAUUUGUAGGAGAGAAUCUCUAUAAUGGUAAUUAAGUAUUGUCGAUAUUUACUCUGUUGCUUUAGGAUCGAACAGCUGGACCUGGAAGCCACGAGAGCUGCCCGAGGAAGAGGGCGAAGGCGCGGGGGUGGAAGAGGGUAUGCCUGUGGUCAUCACCUUCCGAGACGACACGACCCGGCGAUUCAGAUUUAUCUUAUUCCUUGCCUCAACAACAUGCUCUGCUUCUUGAGCUUGCAGGUUCUAGCCUUUCUCUUCUCCUCUUGUUGUCUUGCACUCCGAUCAAGCCAUGGUGCAUAUUGCCUCAGAUUUGCUUAUUUGAGUGUGCUUUUAUACAUAAAUCUUGAUUUGUUUGUUUUUCAUAUUUUUAGGGAUAUGAGGAGAGAACUCUAUUGUUGGCAGUGACUGCAUCAUUUCCACAAGUGAUAUGGUUGAUCUUUGCUAUGUGGACGAUGGCAGGAUCUGUACCUAAGUUUGGAGAUUCUGAAUUAGUAAGAAAACGAUGGCAACCAUUUGAUUGUUUUUUUAUUACUUUAGGAAUAUGAGGAGAGAGCUCUAUUGUUGGCAGGGGCUGCAUCAUUAUCUUUGCUAUGUGGACCGAUGGCAUGAUCUGUACCUAAGGUUGAAGAUUCUGAAUUAGGAAAGAAAAAGAUGACAGCCACUUCGUUUUAGUACAUCAGUUUACUGAAUAAUUCUACGCUUUGAACUGCACGAUUACAGUGACAAUAUAACUAAAUAAUGGAAGAAACUUAAGGCUAGACACCACAUAAAUUUUCUUUUUAUUUGAAUUUAUAAUUAGACACUUGAAUUUAGCUUGAUACAUAUCAUAUGAUACCUUAGAAGCCCAUAUUGUAAAAUUUGACCAGUUCCCAUAAGGCCACAACUGUAUCUUAGUGUAGAAUUUACUUUCUCUUU
rnacentral:lncRNA from 1 species